GAUGAACGCUGGCGGCGUGCCUAAUACACGCAAGUCGAGCGAACAGAUGAGGAGCUUGCUCCUCUGACGUUAGCGGCGGACGGGUGAGUAACACGUGGAUAACCUACCUAUAAGACUGGGAUAACUUCGGGAAACCGGAGCUAAUACCGGAUAAUAUAUUGAACCGCAUGGUUCAAUAGUGAAAGACGGUUUUGCUGUCACUUAUAGAUGGAUCCGCGCCGCAUUAGCUAGUUGGUAAGGUAACGGCUUACCAAGGCAACGAUGCGUAGCCGACCUGAGAGGGUGAUCGGCCACACGGGAACUGAGACACGGUCCAGACUCCUACGGGAGGCAGCAGUAGGUAUCUUCCGCAAUGGGCGAAAGCCUGACGGAGCAACGCCGCGUGAGUGAUGAAGGUCUUCGGAUCGUAAAACUCUGUUAUUAGGGAAGAACAAAUGUGUAAGUAACUAUGCACGUCUUGACGGUACCUAAUCAGAAAGCCACGGCUAACUACGUG
rnacentral:rRNA from 1 species